rnacentral:tRNA from 1 species
GGGCGUAUAGCUCAGUUGGUAGAGCACCUGCCUUACAAGCAGGAUGUCACAAGUUCGAGUCUUGUUGCGCCCA